UACGAAGGGGGCUAGCGUUGUUCGGAAUCACUGGGCGUAAAGCGCACGUAGGCGGAUCUUUAAGUCAGGGGUGAAAUCCCGAGGCUCAACCUCGGAACUGCCUUUGAUACUGGGGAUCUCGAGUCCGGGAGAGGUGAGUGGAACUGCGAGUGUAGAGGUGAAAUUCGUAGAUAUUCGCAAGAACACCAGUGGCGAAGGCGGCUCACUGGCCCGGUACUGACGCUGAGGUGCGAAAGCGUGGGAGCAAACAGG
rnacentral:rRNA from 1 species